rnacentral:sRNA from 1 species
AGUUCAUAUUGCUGGUGCAGAGUCUCAGUCUGUAAAUUGUGCAUACC